GGCGAGGAACAGGCCACGCCCAACUCAUCGCUAAGAUCUUCCAUAAUCCAGAAUGUUCAUCUGAAACCAGCAGAAGGUCCUGUAGGCAUCUGGUACUACGUUCUGCAGGAACUAAAUAACGUAUUUGAGAUGUUAUCUCCAGCAGGGAGGAGUUUAUGUGUUUUAUGAUAUUUUAUUUUACUCUGUGUCCUUUUAUGCCUGGACGGCCCGCUGGUCCUCGAGAAAUAGGACCAGUUUGCUGGUAGAGGAGAAGCCUGCAGAAGCUACGGUUGGGCUGGUACGGGACCUUCCAUGUAGGGUGUGGCCACGCCCUUGGCCCCUCCCAUACUGGGAAGGUCAGUGGAGGCUUUAAAUGGAGCGCUGCAGGUCCUGCUGCUACCGCGGUCUCAACGUUCCAGGGUCCUUCGGCCAUUUCUUCUGAUCUCCUGUGAGGAUGCCCAGCAAGAGGAAGAAGAACAAGCGGCGUAUGAGGAGGGUGCAGGCUCAGAGGAGGCUUCUUGAGGAACAAUAUGCAGCUUCUUCUCCAGCUAAAGGGGCUCCUGGGCUGCGAGCCGUCUCCGCCCCACCUGUCUCCAGGUGCCCCCUAAAGCCCCCCAAGACAACAUCUGCCAAGCCUCACGCUCCAGGUCCAAAACUCAUCAAAAUACCACAGGCGGAACCAUUUAAGGAUCCAGAGUUAGAUCAAGGAACAAAUAAAGAAGAGUCUCUGAGUGAAGUGACUGAGGUUAAAGAACCGGAGUUUCCCCUGAAUAAAGUUACAGAAUUCGAACCAGCUGAAGAGCCAGAAGACCUUACUCACACAGAACUUCUGGCAGAAGCAGCUGCAGAACCAGAAUUAGCCUUUAAAAGCAUAAAACCAGAAGAAACCACCACCACAGAACCAGAACAUAUAGAGCUAGAAACAGUUCUAGAUUCAGAGGUGGUUAAAGAACCAGAAGAACAAGUUUUAGGUCCACAACUAACAACUGAUGAAGGUCUAAUGUGCUUUAAUAAAACUGAGCACGAACAACUGGAACAGGCAGCUGCUCAUUUAGAACCAGAAGCAGCAAUAGAAUUUGGAACAGUUGAGGGAACCAAGUCAGAACCAGCAGCUGAUCCGGAACAACCAGAACCAGAACUGGUUGCAGAGCUGGAACCACCGAAUGAACCAGGAAGCACAGCAGAUCCAGAAGCAUUACUGGAAGUAUGCAUUCCAGAGGUGGAACAGUCAGAGAACACUUCCAGUCCACCUGCUGAAUCAGAGGUUGUGGAACCAGAGGUUCUUCAGCAGGAAUCAUCAGUGUCACCAGAACCAGAGGUUCUUCAGCAGGAAUUAUCAGCAUCACCAGAACCAACGAUUCUUCAGCAGGAAUCAUCAGUGUCACCAGAACCAGAGGUUCUUCAGCAGGAAUCAUCAGAGUCACCAGAACCAGAGGUUCUUCAGCAGGAAUCAUCAGUGUCACCAGAACCAGAGGUUCUUCAGCAGGAAUUAUCAGCAUCACCAGAACCAGAGGUUCUUCAGCAGGAAUCAUCUGUGUCACCAGACCCAGAGGUUCUUCAGCAGGAAUUAUCAGCAUCACCAGAACCAGAGGUUCUUCAGCAGGAAACGGCUGCUCCAGUGGAGGUUUUGGACUCUGGAGCAGCAGGUCUGACUGCCGACGUCAUGACCUUUGACCAGUGACAUUUUGAAGAUUUUUACAGAAAGUCCCUUUUCAUUUUGUGAAUAAACAAAUUCCGCAUUUCUUUGUUCCA
rnacentral:lncRNA from 1 species